rnacentral:lncRNA from 1 species
UCGCGCUGAAUAGAUGAUUUUUUACGGAUGUUGUCCCCAAACCCAAAACUCAGAAAACCAACAAGAUUGUAAUUGAAUCUAAAAUUGACAAGGAAACAACAAAUCUCAAUCAAUGGAAGCUCUAAAAUCCUAAGUCAUCUCCACGAAACCCUUCAAUUUCCCAUCUUUAAAACCCCUAAAUCAAAAAGUGCCUUCAUAUUAUGCUCAGUCAGCGACGAU